CUCCUACCUUGGUCGCUGCAUCCUGCAGGCGGAGAUUCCUCAAAGUCCUGGUCGUCAGGACUUUUGCGUUUCUUCGACAUUUGCUGUUCCCUAUUCGAGUGAUGGAUCUAUCCACCGCUGAAUCGAUAUCUGCUGAUAACCGUGCUGUGUGCGCAAAGUUACCAUGUGGUGGCCAGCCGAGCAUCUGGAGACGCAGCGAGGCAUGGAGCCGGUCCCCUCCUGAUUCCCGCCGUAAUCGGACAAGAUGUGUCUCCACGGAGGAUCCGGGACUUAUUUCUCUGGACAAAUGAGAAAUAUUUGCGGCUGAAGUGAUUUGUCGAUCACGUGCGUUGCGGAUUAUGCUUGAAGCCCGCUCAGAAAGAAAUUUCGCACUGGAGGCAACUUGUUGAUCCACGUCUUAAUAAUAAAAGUGGUUUUCGUCA